GUGGGUUGUAUUGAAUUUGAAUUUUAAAUUUGAAGCUUAAACGCUCAUAAAAAAUAUUGUAAUUAUUUAUUUUUGAUAUUUUUUAAACUGUUUAUGAACUACUUGUAUAAGGAGCAUUGUAUUUCUAGAGCUGAAAAAAUGCUGUUCAUUAAGGUAGCGGCAAAAAUGUAAAACAAGGCUACGUGAUAAGACCAUACUUGCUGUAACCAACAAAUUUAAACGGGUCACCUGUCAAUAUGUAAUGUUUGAAAAUAACCGCUUAUGGCAAUAUAUUAUAGGGACGACAAGUACCUGCGGUUGUUACUUGUUAAUCGGUGCCGGGAGUGGCAGGAACUACGGUGGACCUAUAUGCAUUAUGUUUGUGUGUCCUGGACGAAUGCGUGUGUUAUUGUGCUAUGUGCGGGCUGCACUCGAAGUGUGACUCAUCCUGCUUUUUACCAACAGGCACCAGUAAAACAGUAGGUUGUUUCCAGCGGUUAAAGAAAAUAAAAAGUAGCUAUUAUUAUGAUUGGAUAUAAUUUUAGACCUACCUGUACCUAUUUUAUAUUUGGUCAAAAUAACCUAAAGAACUGUAUUACAAUGCAGCUUACAUUUAACGGAGCUUGGAGAAUGGGUAAAUCCACGAGCAUUUAAUUAUUACGGACAAUGAUGUGCAGGAUCAGCUUUUAAUACAUUUAUAAAUGUCAAUCAACUUCAAUAAAUCACAAAACGUUCAGCGCACUGUAGUAUCAUUUUAUCCACUUGGUACUCCCUGCAGUGCUGUAGGAAAUCGUAUAAAAUGUUUGGUCUAUGUAUAUCAUUUAUCCACACGGAUCAAAGAACUCAGACAUUGUAUACGAUGCCAGGAUAGUGUUUACAAUGAGCAUUUUUACACUUGGACCGUAACAUAAAUAAUAUUAUAUAUUUUAUGCACGCGAGAGUUCUGCGUCAGUAGUUCUCAGUGGAGUAUGAACCAUUGCAACUGUGAAUGGGUUGUAAUAUUAAUUAUUACUGUAUUAGUUGAUAUUACUUUGACAACGUGUACCAAGCUACCUUUUUUUUUUUUUUUUUUUGA